rnacentral:rRNA from 1 species
GCCAGUUGUACAGCUGGGUAGCUGCGUUCGGAAGGGAUAAACGCUGAAAGCAUCUAAGCGUGAAACCCGCCUUGAGAUGAGAUCUCUCACAGAGUAAUCUGGUAAGACUCCUUAUAGACGAUGAGGUAGAUAGGCUGGAAGUGGAAGCGUGGUGACAUGUGAAGCGGACCAGUACUAAUAAGUCGAGGGCUUAACUU